UCUGGUAAUAAUGGCAGAGAGGCCACACCCGUUCCCAUACCGAACACGGAAGUUAAGCUCUCUAGCGCCGAUGGUAGUUGGGACCUUGUCCCUGUGAGAGUAGGACGUUGCCAGGC
rnacentral:rRNA from 1 species